rnacentral:rRNA from 1 species
GCUGGCGGCACGCUUAACACAUGCAAGUCGAACGAGAUCUUCGGAUCUAGUGGCAGACGGGUGAGUAACGCGUGGGAACCUGCCCUUUAGUAGAGAAUAACUCGGGGAAACUCGAGCUAAUACUUUAUACGCCCUUCGGGGGAAAGCUUUAUGCGCUAUUGGAUGGGCCCGCGUUAGAUUAGUUUGUUGGUGAGGUAAUGGCUCACCAAGGCUACGAUCUAUAGCUGGUCUGAGAGGAUGAUCAGCCACACUGGGACUGAGACACGGCCCAGACUCCUACGGGAGGCAGCAGUGGGGAAUAUUGGACAAUGGGGGCAACCCUGAUCCAGCGAUGCCGCGUGAGUGAUGAAGGCCCUAGGGUUGUAAAGCUCUUUUGUCAGGGAAGAUAAUGACGGUACCUGAAGAAUAAGAUCCGGCUAACUCCGUGCCAGCAGCCGCGGUAAUACGGAGGGAUCUAGCGUUAUUCGGAAUUACUGGGCGUAAAGCGAGCGUAGGCUGAUUUGUAAGUUGGAUGUGAAAUCCCAGAGCUUAACUCUGGAACUGCAUCCAAAACUACAUUUCUUGAGUUUGGUAGAGGAGAGUGGAAUUCCUAGUGUAGAGGUGAAAUUCGUAGAUAUUAGGAGGAACACCAGUGGCGAAGGCGACUCUCUGGGCCAAUACUGACGCUGAGGUUCGAAAGCGUGGGUAGCGAACAGGAUUAGAUACCCUGGUAGUCCACGCAGUAAACGAUGAAUGCUAGAUGUUGGAAACAUUAGUUUUCAGUAUCGCAGCUAACGCAUUAAGCAUUCCGCCUGGGAAG